UACGUAGGGUCCGAGCGUUUGUCCGGAGUUACUGGGCGUAAAGCGCGUGUAGGCGGCCCGGAAAGUCGGAUGUGAAAGCCCUGGGCUUAACCUAGGAAGUGCAUUCGAAACUCCCGUGGCUUGAGUUCUGGAGAGGGAAGCGGAAUUCUCGGUGUAGAGGUGAAAUUCGUAGAUAUUCGCAAGAACACCAGUGGCGAAGGCGGCUCACUGGCCCGGUACUGACGCUGAGGUGCGAAAGCGUGGGGAGCAAACAGG
rnacentral:rRNA from 1 species